CGCGCGGGAGAGCGCCUCUCGGCCUUUCAGGUCGGUAGAUGAGGCCGCCGAAGGAGCAACCACCCCGGAAUCUCUCAGGCCAAAGGACCGCGCGG
rnacentral:ncRNA from 1 species